rnacentral:rRNA from 1 species
GACGAACGCUGGCGGCGUGCUUAACACAUGCAAGUCGAGCGGUAAGGCCCUUCGGGUACGACGAGCGGCGAACGGUGAGUAACACGUGGGUGACCUGCCUCUAGCUCUGGGAUAAGCCUGGGAAACUGGGUCUAAUACCGGAUAUGACUCCACGGCGCAUGUUGUGGGGUGGAAAGCCUUGUGUGGCUAGAGAUGGGCCCGCGGCCUAUCAGCUUGUUGGUGGGGUGAUGGCCUACCAAGGCGACGACGGGUAGCCGGCCUGAGAGGGCGACCGGCCACACUGGGACUGAGACACGGCCCAGACUCCUACGGGAGGCAGCAGUGGGGAAUCUUGCGCAAUGGGCGAAAGCCUGACGCAGCGACGCCGCGUGAGGGAUGACGGCCUCGGUGUAA